rnacentral:misc_RNA from 1 species
AAUUAGCUGUUGCUCAAAACGUUCAAGAAUAUGUUGCACAAAAUCCAUUUGGUCAGCGAGCUAUUACAGAAUCAAACCCUUCCUGGGGUUUCUACCGGAGGAUUUUGAGUGCUGACUCGUGCCAAUCACAAGAUUUUGCUAGUAGUUCAUUCACUGGGCAAUAAUAAUCAACUUUGAACGACCUGCAAAUUACUUAGCUGCGUCUUUUGGCCCCAGUGACAACUCAAGCUGCUUUUAAGGGCUGCAUUUAUGCUGCAGAAUGCUGGUGCAUAUGUUCUCAAGUUGUUUCAGUUGCAUGGAAAAUCCAGAAACAUUGCAGGCUGAUUUAUGUAAGAUUGCUGUUGUAAUUUCUUUUUUGAUAACCGUGCAGAAUAGUGAUGUAGUUUUCUUCAACGUGAAGGUGAUCCACGUUUUUGUUCCUUGUUCCGUAGGCCAUUAUUUUUUAUUUUUCUGCACAAGAUUUUUGAAUCUUCGCUGGCAAUUAUUAGGUCUCAGGAUGUACUACAAAGCAAACAACUUUAAAUAUUGUGACUAGUCACAAAACAAAGACAAUAAUAAGAUAAGAGUCUGGAAAAAAAAAAAA